GUUGAUCAUGGCUCAGGAUGAACGCUAGCUACAGGCUUAACACAUGCAAGUCGAGGGCAGCAUGAAGUUGCUUGCAAACUUGAUGGCGACCGGCGCACGGGUGAGUAACGCGUAUCCAACCUCCCCUAGUAGGGCAUAGCCCGAUGAAAAUCGGAUUAAUACCCUAUGUUUUCCAAUGAGGACAUCUGAGCUGGAACAAAGAUUCAUCGCUAAGGGAUGGGGGAUGCGUCCGAUUAGGUAGUCGGCGGGGUAACGGCCCACCGAGCCAUCGAUCGGUAGGGGUUCUGAGAGGAAGGUCCCCCACAUUGGAACUGAGACACGGUCCAAACUCCUACGGGAGGCAGCAGUGAGGAAUAUUGGUCAAUGGGCGAGAGCCUGAACCAGCCAAGUAGCGUGCAAGGAUGACGGCCCUAUGGGUUGUAAACUGCUUUUAUGCGGGGAUAAAGUGCGCCACGUGUGGUGUUUUGUAGGUACCGCAUGAAUAAGGACCGGCUAAUUCCGUGCCAGCCGCAGC
rnacentral:rRNA from 1 species